AACUAAUGAAAUCUCCAUAUUUUGGAUCUGAGUUAAUUCUGGGUGACUGUGAUUUGUUUCUUAGGAGCUUGAUGGAGCUGAAAAGCCACAGUCUGUUCCACCACUGUUAAUGUCCAGAAGUCUAUGUGUCCAGCAUUUUGCUUGCUGAGAAACCCUUCCAGUUUCCAUCCACCGGUCCCCAUGAAGGUUCAGCAAGAGUCAAUAAGUUUCAAUGGACAACGGAGAGAACGGGCUGAGGACAGCAAUCCUUAAUUGGCCUUCUCAUUCUCAGGGUGGAGAACCCCAGCCCCAAGGACCUCACAGGCCCUCCAAUGCACCCUCUGCUGUCCGAGUGUGGCCACCCAGAGGAUGCCAGGCCGUCUCCUACUUGUCCUUCUUCUUUGGGAUCGGGGCAGAAGAGAUGCCACCUUGUCACACUCAGAUGCAGAGGUGAGGGAUAGGAAAGGACAGCUGAUGGAACCCUUGAAAGACAACAGUUUUUAUUGAUUGCAUGUCCUUUGGCUGCUUGUGGGGUGUCAGUAUGCUUUGCCUCUGCUGCGGUCUGGCACAGACAGACCUAAUGUGGCUCCACCCUAGGCAGCUGCAGGGUCAUUGAGAGCCCCCUUCUCAAACCCUCUUGCUAUCUUCCUGCAACCAUCUCAUGGAAUGAGCCAUUCUCUGCUGCUGUCUGGCUCUGGGACAACUCCACCUCAGGCAGCAGCAUGUCGGUUGAGAGCUCUCUUCCUCAACGCUCUUGCUACCUUCCUGCAACUAUCUCAGAGAAUGGGCCAUGAGCCCCAACUCUUAACUGCUAUGUUUUGUUCACCAUGGGACACUUAGAAUCCUAUUGCAAUGGCCACCUUUUGUUGCAGGCCCUACAAAUAUGAGGACCCUACAUACAGAAUGUCAGUUGCUGAGCUGAAGCAGCCAGUGACAGCUUGUCUUCAGCUGAGAUUAGGAAGUUUUUAUUUCCUGGAGUGAGGAUAAAGUAUCUGCCUUUCAAGAAGAGGCAGGUAAUGGAAAUGGACAAUGACAUCGAGCCCAUGGAGGUUGAUCUACCUGGCAGUGAUGAAGAUCCGAUGGAGGUGGAUCAGCCUCUGGAGGAUGACCUGAUGGAAGUGGAUCUACCUCCUCUGGAGCAGACUGAAGACCACCGUCACUCUCAGGCCAACUAUGAAGAGAUUGCACCCCAAAGAUCAUCACAGGGGUGCUGGAAUCCAUAUGCCUUCCUCCAAACAGCUACCUUGAUGCUGGUGCUGAACAACUCAUCCCAUAGAUUUAUCAUUAACCAAGAGAGCCCCAACUUUGGGCCUUUCUGUGGGCUUACAUGGAGCCUCCAUUUCCUGGUAAUUCUUUUGACAGCCAAGGCUGUUACAAGCCCAUCCUUCCUUUCUUCCUCCCUCAUCCCUCACCAAGGGAAAGAAUGGGUGAGAAAGGAGAGAAGCAUCUGUUCCUGUGGAGAAGCAGGCAGGAAGAAGUGCUGAACUUCAGGAGGAAGAUCCAGUCCAGGUACUCCACUUGGACUUUUUUUUUUUUUUCAAGAUUAGACAACCAACAAUUUAAA